CUAAAUACAGGCUGAAAAAUAGUAGUUACCCAUAAACCCAUCCUCUCCGGUAGAAAAAUGAGUGGGAUUGUGAUGAAUUAGUGUGGGUUCCUAAAACAAAGUGAUUUGUACAUAACAAUAAUACAAGUAUGAAAACGGGUCUGACCAAUACUUUACAUCUUGUACCAAAGCCAGAGAACUACAGCAUAACUCUUCUGUGUUCUGGUAAUGGAGUCCUGAGGACUUGGCUGGUGGUCUCUGCAAUCCUGUAACUGAGCUUUGGGCCGCACUGCAUUGCUCACUGGACCAAUCCACCACUUCAUGCUUAUCUAUGAUCUGGGGUUACUGGCAGUGGCCACAUCCUGAUUGCUGGUAUUUUGAUGGCUGCACCUCCAAAGAGAGAAAGUGUGGAGGUUACCUGUGUCAGGGCCACGAGGCUGGAAGGAGCAAACCCUUAUCCACAGAGAGCUGACUUCUGGGCGCUGAAUGGAGUCCCUUAUCUUUCAACUUCUGGGAAAAGUGAUAGUUCUUAAACUUGUCAACAGACACAAAAAGAAAGAUGAACGAGAAGGGAGUUUUUAAUAUCUGAAAAUUGAAGAACAUUAAGAAACAACAGUCCAGAGCUGUUCCACCUGAACGUGGUGAAGCACUACAAAAUGUAGAAUGGAAACGCUGAAGUAGAGAGUGAAGAGACUGUGGACCACCUUGUUCCUUCAGGAGUUAUUUAAACCUUCCUAUGAACACUUCACUGUCCAGCGUAGAUUUAAAAAAAAAUGCUGUUAGCUCACAGAAUACAAGAAAAGCUGCCUAAUCUAUCACAAUAAGACAGUUAAUCACCUUUGACAACGUAUGUUUAUAACUGAAAUGAAACAUUCACUACUUAGAAGCAUUUGACACUGCUAUAUUGCGCUGCUAUUAGCACUGUUAUUUGAGUCCAUGUAUAGACAGACAUUUCUUAAAGAUUCAAAAAUCAUCAGAUUCAGCAGAAACUUCAAACCCACUUAAAAUGCAGUGAGUUUAGGAUGUUUUUGACAGAACAAAAUGGAAUCUUUAUAAGCCAUGAAUUAAAAAUCCUGUGCAAGAUGAAUGGGUUCAUGUAGCAUAGAAGUCAGCACCUGAGACCAAGCAGAGUACGUUGAUAUUGUUUUCCAAAAGCUUAAUAAGUUUGUAUCGAGUUUAGAACAGAUCAAUCAGUUUAGCUAGUUUCUUUUUCUGCUGAUUUUACUGCAAUCAGAGCUGAAACCCAGAACUUGCAAAACUGAGAUCUUUGUUUAGUACAAGAAUCUAGCAGCUGCUGGGAGGGAUUACAGCUACUCUGGUUCUCUUCACUUGCUUAGCUGAGGCUUAAUCUUAACUAGGAAUUUAAUUGGGUUUUCUGUAUUUCUAAAGAAAUGCACUAAAAGCUAAGAUACAUAGUCAAAUAUUCCUUUUCUGUGUGGUUAAGCUGCUGAAUUUUGAAUUAUUUUCUGUUCAGAUGCAUAGCUUUAUAGGAU
rnacentral:lncRNA from 1 species